UACGUAGGGACCGAGCGUUGUCCGGAUUCAUUGGGCGUAAAGAGCUCGUAGGCGGCUGCUCAAGUCGAAUGUGAAAACUCGAGGCUCAACCUCGAGCCUGCAUUCGAUACUGGAUGGCUUGAAUCCGGGAGAGGGAUGCAGAAUUCCAGGUGUAGCGGUGAAAUGCGUAGAUAUCUGGAGGAACACCGGUGGCGAAGGCGACAUCCUGGACCGGUAUUGACGCUGAGGCGCGAAAGCCAGGGGAGCAAAGCGGG
rnacentral:rRNA from 1 species